rnacentral:lncRNA from 1 species
GUCACAGUGAGAGAGCCAUGAUGGAGGACGGGGUCACCCUGCUUGCCCAACGCGGGGAGCUCCGUCAUACAGAACCCCAGUGAGUUCUGGAGGUCACGCUCUGUUUCAUAAAUGAAAAGCUGGGGCAGGGGCCUUGCCACACGGACACUCCUCGGGCCUCACAAGCUCCUGUGGGUGACCAGGCUGCUCCCCACCGCCGGCGUGGGCUGUUGCUACCCUGCACAUCCCUCGGGUGGGCAGCGGUGCUUGAAACGCCAGCUCCCGCCCUUCCUGCCUAGUGGCUUGACGGCUUCAUUGUGCUAACCACCCAGGCAAGCUUGCGUGACUAACGGAGGAGCGUCUCCCCUUAGAUUCUUCCCGCCCGGAGCCGGGGACAGCAGGUUGUUUAUCACGGAAGGGCUGGGAAGAGCUUUUCAGAAAGGCCUUGGGGACUCUCUGUGUGGCAUGGAACAGAGAGUGCCUGCCCACCCCAGGCAGCCAGAUGCAGCCCCUGCCUGCUUCCCCCUCCCUGGCUAUGUGCGUUCCAGAAAACCACCUGACCUCCAGAUUCUCUCUCGUCCAGUGGAGAUUCUCCUGCCCGAAGGCAGGCGCUCUCCAAGGUCCCUCUCCCCAGAAGAGCCACGAUCCCAGGAAGCCGGCUUGUGCAGAGGAAAGAACCGCACCUCGUUGUCAGAACAACCCCAGCUCUGCCACCUACACCUUGUGUGACCUUGGGCAAGUCAGAGAAACUUCUCAGAUGCACAAUCUCGUCACGCUCCUAGUUUCCAAGCCCACACACCUGAGGGUCAAUGUCCCUUAUUGCACCCCCACCCCAUACCGACUCCAUCAGCAAGUCCUGUUUGUUCUUGCCCCAAGUAUCUCUCCUGUCUGCCCAUUCCCUGCAUCUCCCCCGUCACCACCCCGGGCCAGUCCCCGUUACCCGCACCUGGAGGUCUGCACCAGCCCCACCUGCACUCCGGCGUCCACUCUCGCCCCCAUUGCUGUGAUCUCCACACAACCACGAGCGGCCUUGAGAGCGCAGCGAGGCCGUGAGGCUGCGCAGAGCCCCUCAGUCAGCAGGACCGCGCUCACGGUUCAGUGGGCCGUCUGCUAGAGGCUUUCCGCAGUUCAUUCCUUCUCCCCACACAACUCUGAAGGUACGAUGAUGUACAAAAGAGGAAGCAAAGCACUGAACACAGAACCUGGCAAGCUGUAAUCAUCUGGCACAUCUGAACUGUCUGGGUGGUGUCUCCGCUGCUACCGCCUCAGUGCAGGUUUCCAUCAUCUGUUGCCUGUUGACCAUGAAACUCCCAACUCAAUCCUCUCACUCCAGCCUUCCUCAAACCCCAGUGUCUUCCACAUACUAGGACCAGAGUGAUCCUCUGAACAUAAAACUGAUUGAUAACAGAUCAUCCAAAUGGACUAAUAAUUGACCAAUUAAUAAUUGACAAUCAAAAAAUUCUCUCCUCAAAAAAAAAGGCAAGAAAACUGGCAAAAAAUGUCAAAAUCAACUUUUCUAGAACUCUGAAAGUUAACCACCAAAGGCUUGGAAUAAUCCGGGAAGCUUUUAUUUAAUUAAAAUGGCUGAGUCUUGGUAUGAACA